CUCAAUCAACUGAAUCAAUAUUACAGACAACGUGGCAAAAAGAAUUGGCUGACCAAAGGCGAUAGAAACACUAAGUUUUUUCAUCAGGCUGUUCUUAAGCGUAGAAAAAGAAAUACAAUCUGUUCUGUUAAAGAUGAGAAUAAUGUGCUCCAUUAUCAACCAACUGCUAUCAUGCAAACUUUUGUUAAUUAUUUCAGAUUCAUUUUCUCGCCUUUUCCUCAACUCAACUCCUUUGAACAUAAUGAUGAUUUCACCUACUCCGUUCCUGAUAAAUCUCAAAUUUUUCAGAUUCUUAAGGAAAUGAAACUGAAUGCUUCACCAGGUCCUGAUGGUUUCAAUGUGGAGUUUUAUCUGGCAACUUGGGAGUGGAUUGGUGAUGAGGUAACACAGUUUGUGUCUUCUUUCUAUGCCACAGGUAUUCUACCUCCUCAUAUUAAUGACACUAACAUUGCUCUCAUUCCUAAGAAGUUAGUACCUCUUGUUCCUAUGGAUUAUAGACCA
rnacentral:rRNA from 1 species